AGGAGACAAUGAGUGAUGGAGUAUAGAAAAAAAGAAGUCAAAUAAUAGGGCAUAACACAUUUUAGUUUAGGUUACUGUAGUAUUUCUGAGAAAUGCAAUUACAGAGGUAUUCCACAAGUGAAAAUGACACUGCAUUACUUCACAAUGUAUUUGUUUCUCUGUAUUUUAUAUAUAUUACAUAUAUAUCAUAUAUAUAUAUAAGUAUAUAGUAAUGUGAAUGUUGAUUUGGUAUUACUAGAAACAAAUGAUCAGGCCCAAAUCCAGUUUGCAACUGUCUGAAUAUAGAGUGAGGGAAAUUGAUAUUCCUGCAUCUUAAAAUCCACUUUUUACACUUGAAGCCAUGUCACAUAAUGAGUGGCAGAAAUUUAAAUCUGCUGUAAUUUCAUUACAAUAGUAGCAAUUAAUUUGUCCAAUCAAGUGGAUAAAUAAACACAUGACAAAUGUAUCUGUGAAAAUGAAAACAGUCCUUACAAAUAUUAGAUAUCUGAUUUCAGUUUUAAAAUAAUAAAUACAUAACUGUGUUUAAUUAUGAAAUAAUCAUUGCAGACAAAGAUUUGCUCCUGUGUAAAUGCUGAUCUUAGGUGAAAUAUUCAUUUUUUUACUUACAGGUAUAGUAAAGCUGUUAUUCCUAUAGCAAUUGUUUUCAAAUAAAAUUAAAGCAGGGUUGUUCACAGUA